ACGCUCGACACCUACGGGGGGCAGCAGUGGGGAAUAUUGCACAAUGGGGGAAACCCUGAUGCAGCGACGCCGCGUGAGUGAAGAAGUAUUUCGGUAUGUAAAGCUCUAUCAGCAGGGAAGAAGAUGACGGUACCUGAGUAAGAAGCCCCGGCUAACUACGUGCCAGCAGCCGCGGUAAUCUGAGCGGGCUGGCAAGGC
rnacentral:rRNA from 1 species